rnacentral:lncRNA from 1 species
UCUAAAUCCAGACCUCCAUGGGUUGAUAAAUUGGAUUUCCAUUGAUUAUUUUUGUGUGAUUUUGUUGUCAGCACAUUCAACUAUGUAAAGAAAAAAGUAUUUAAUAAUAUUAUUUCUUUCAUUCAGAUCUAGGAUGUGUUGUUUAAGUGUUCCCUUUAUUUUUUUGAGCAGUGUAUUUUAAGCGCAUAUGAAAACUGAUCAUAAAAAAAUGGAAUAAAAAAUGUUUUACAUAUACAUGUUCCUAAGACCUUUUUCACUUGGAAAUAAGUAUUAAUAACUAAAUAGAACAAUAACCAUGUAAAGUCAGAGCCGACCUGUAUGCCCUUUAAAACAGUAUCUUAGUUACUGUAUACAUAAAAAAUAAAUACAACUUUCAGUCUUCUUCGUAAGUUUGUAAAUAAAAUAGGCCUUCUGGUCAUACAAGAACAAACUGAUAAAUUGAGGAACCUGAGUAUUCUGAAAAAUAGUCACCUGAUGCUUGUUAGGCAAUGUUAUUCAAUACAAGGAAAAUGAGAAUACCAUGGCCGAAACCAUCAAUCUGUUCCUUCUGGUGAGGUUCUAGGGAGGAAUAUGGAUUUCUGAACCGUUGAUGAAGCCUCGUCCUCCGACGAAGUAAGCAGCCUUUCCCUCAUUUCGUGCUUUCUUGAUCGUUGGCCACAACUUGUUCCUUCUUUCUAUGUCCUCUGGGCUGAGAUGCUCGGCGAAACACAUACCAUGGCUCUGAAGGAAGGGGUUCUUCCUAGCAGCUUUCCAGACAGCAUCCCUGUAGAAUUUGGUAGUGAAGAGGAUGAUGAUACCCCUUGGCCUUGAAUCGUUUUGCUAUUGCUUCUUGCCGAGGCGAUGCAGAACGUCGAUGGUAUCACCAACUUUGUUCUUCUCUGCAGGCAUAACUUCUUGGCAGAUGCGGAUAGCCUCUCCUCGCACAUCCUCAUUCUCCACCUCUGGCACGCCUCAUAGGCUGACCACACCACUCGCGUCGCGUUGCAAAAUAAAUGUAGAAAUCUAUGUAAUUCAAUUAUUGCACCCACACUGCUCACGCGCAUCUACGUUGCCAAGGGCUAAAAUAGAACUCAUUUCUAUUUCUGACGAAGAUCGCGCUGCAAGUCCUGCCUCUCCCAUCACCUCAUUGGUUUAUAGAAGCAAGUACCCACGUGCCAUCUCCUCAUUGGUUAUACCCACGUGGGUGAUUGAAAGAUGAACUGUGUUGCUGGUCGGUGUAGUAAUACUAUGAAAGUUUAGAUGCCAAUCACCAUAUAAGUUCAAAGAUGAAAAAGCCUGGAAGGAGGAGAGAUGACUAGAAAUGGUUCGGUUGACCGUUUUAUGUGUGGAUUAAUUGUCGGAGAAGAGGACCUUGUGCAUUUCAGGUAAAAUAACAACUCAAUGUUUAUAUCCCAGUACAAAUUAGUUAACAAGAGCAAGCUAGCUAAAUAGGUCAAAUUAGCUAGCAAGUGCAAGAUAGCUAAAUUGCCAUAAAUGUUUCAUGCUUUUCGACCUGUUCCCAAAUUAAUGUAAUUGGUUCAGAGUUAGUUUUGGGUUCCAUGUUAGAGUCUCAGGUUCCAUCUUCUUGUGUAUUAUUCCAGAUCAGUGAGAUGUCUAUGGUAGACAUUGUUAUUCUUUUCCACACUUUUUUCAACUUUUGCCACUCGUUUUCACAUCCUUGAUUUCACCACAUGCUAACUCCACAGUCUUUUUCAAGCCUUCGAUAACCAUGGUGUUCGCGCCUACCAUUUUUUCAAUGGCGUCAGACCUGGAGUUGAUGAGUAAGGAGAGGGUAGCCACGAUGUCAGAGUUCACGUUGGGUUUUUUGGAGGGUGGAGGUUUGCACGGAGUAACCGGUAAAGAGGGGGAUACUUCAUCUUCAUCAGCAUUCGAAAGUAUGAUAUUCCCCAUAGGGCAAGCGUAGUUAUGGCAGUUGUCUAUAAGCACGUUUCUCUCUUGAUUAGCCAUAGAACGGCUAGCUUCUUCCUUUUUUUGUCACGACUUCGCAUGGACAUGCCAAAAUAAAUGAUCCAAUUCUUAUUCCAGUCACAGGAAAGUUCUUAUAUCUUGAACAAAUAAAAACAGUAAUAGUAAUGACCGUAAACGUGUUUUUUUCACAAUCUUUCUGAAGUUUGGGGCGGCGCUCGGUAAAAAAAAGCAUCUGUUCAAGCAGCUAAUCAGCUAAAGUUAGCCAAGCUCGCUAGUUGCCGUGCUGAUCGCACCUCUAUUUUGUAAGGAACCUGUAAGGCCACGGAAACUCGCACGCCUAUUGUUUUUCUAAUUUUUACUAACUACUAUGGUAAUUUAAACAUCUGACAACAUGUUUAAAGCAGCCUUUAGCAGCCUUUCUCCACCAUGCCAACUUUUUCAGUCACCAAUUAAUC